rnacentral:misc_RNA from 1 species
AACCUAGCACACCUGCGGUGUGUACCUGCGGAGGGAUCAUUACCGAGUUUACAACUCCCAAACCCCUGUGAACAUACCUAUACGUUGCCUCGGCGGAUCAGCCCGCGCCCUGUAAAAAGGGACGGCCCGCCCGAGGACCCCUAAACUCUGUUUUUAGUGGAACUUCUGAGUAAAACAAACAAAUAAAUCAAAACUUUCAGCAAUGGAUCU